AUUGAACGCUGGCGGCAUGCCUUACACAUGCAAGUCGAACGGCAGCACGGGUGUUUGCACCUGGUGGCGGGUGGCGAACGGGUGAGUAAUAUAUCGGAACGUACCUUAUUGUGGGGGAUAACGCAGCGAAAGCUGUGCUAAUACCGCAUAAUCCCUAAGGGGGAAAGCGGGGGACCGUAAGGCCUCGCGCAAUUAGAGCCGCCGAUACCUGAUUAGCUAGUUGGUGAGGUAAAGGCUCACCAAGGCAACGAUCAGUAGCUGGUCUGAGAGGACGAUCAGCCACACUGGGACUGAGACACGGCCCAGACUCCUACGGGAGGCAGCAGUGGGGAAUUUUGGACAAUGGGGGCAACCCUGAUCCAGCAAUGCCGCGUGAGUGAAGAAGGCCUCCGGGUUGUAAAGCUCUUUUGUCAGGGAAGAAACAGCAGCUCUAACACAGUAUGCGAAUGACGGUACCUGAAGAAUAAGCACCGGCUAACUACGUGCCAGCAGCCGCCGUAA
rnacentral:rRNA from 1 species